rnacentral:rRNA from 1 species
CAGCAGCCGCGGUAAUACAGAGGGUGCAAGCGUUAAUCGGAAUUACUGGGCGUAAAGCGCGCGUAGGUGGUUUGUUAAGUUGGAUGUGAAAUCCCCGGGCUCAACCUGGGAACUGCAUCCAAAACUGGCAAGCUAGAGUAUGGUAGAGGGUGGUGGAAUUUCCUGUGUAGCGGUGAAAUGCGUAGAUAUAGGAAGGAACACCAGUGGCGAAGGCGACCACCUGGACUGAUACUGACACUGAGGUGCGAAAGCGUGGGGAGCAAACAGGAUUAGAUACCCCAGUAGUCCCUGUCUCUUAUAA